rnacentral:rRNA from 1 species
GAUGAACGCUGGCGGCGUGCCUAAUACAUGCAAGUCGAGCGAACAGACGAGGAGCUUGCUCCUCUGACGUUAGCGGCGGACGGGUGAGUAACACGUGGAUAACCUACCUAUAAGACUGGGAUAACUUCGGGAAACCGGAGCUAAUACCGGAUAAUAUAUUGAACCGCAUGGUUCAAUAGUGAAAGACGGUUUUGCUGUCACUUAUAGACGGAUCCGCGCCGCAUUAGCUAGUUGGUAAGGUAACGGCUUACCAAGGCAACGAUGCGUAGCCGACCUGAGAGGGUGAUCGGCCACACUGGAACUGAGACACGGUCCAGACUCCUACGGGAGGCAGCAGUAGGGAAUCUUCCGCAAUGGGCGAAGGCCUGACGGAGCAACGCCGCGUGAGUGAUGAAGGUCUUCGGAUCGUAAAACUCUGUUAUUAGGGAAGAACAAAUGUGUAAGUAACUAUGCACGUCUUGACGGUACCUAAUCAGAAAGCCACGGCUAACUACGUG